AUGUGGCAAAAGCCUCUUCCCUUACUAAAGAAUGUGUUCUCAUCCCUUACUAAACAUAAGAGAACUCAUAUCAUAGAGAAAUCCUACAAAUGUGAAGAAUGUGACAAAGCUUUUAACCACUUCUCAACCCCGCCUACAUAUAAGAUAAUUCAUGCUGGAAGGAAACCCUACAAAUAUGAAGAAUGUCUCAAAGCUUUUUACUGAUUCUUAUACCUUACUAAACAUAAAAUAAUUCAUAAAGGAGAGAAAUUAUACAAAUGUGAAGAAUGUGGCAAAGCUUUUAACAAAUUCUCGUCCAUUUCUAAACACAAGAUAAUUCAUACUGGAGAGAAAACCUACAAACGUGAGGAAUGUGGCAAAGCCUUUAGCCUGUCCAACUUACUGCUCAUAAGAUAGUUUAUACUUGAGAGAAGCCCUACAAAUGUGAAAAAUGUGGCAAACCUUUUAACCAAUCCUCAAUGCUUGUUACACAUUAGAUAAUUCAUGCUGGAGAAAACCCUACAAAUGUGAAAAAUGUAGCAAAGCUUUUAACCAAUUUUCAAACCUUACUAAACAUAAGAUAACUAAUACUGGAGAAAAAUCUUAGAAAUGUGAAGAAUGUGGUAAAGCCUUUAUCCAGUCCUCAGCUCCUACUAAACAUAAUUAAUGAUGGAGAGAAACCGUACAACUGUGAAGAAUGUGGCAAAGCUUUUAACAAGUCCUCAAACCUUAUUGAACAAAAUAAUUCAUACAGGAGAGAAACCCUACAAAUGUGAAGAAUGUGACAAAGCCUUAUUAAAGUUUUGCUAAACAUAAGAAAAUUCAUACUGAAGAAAAACCCUAUGAUUGUGAAAAAUAUGGCAAAGGCUUUAACUAGUCCUCAGUUCUUAACACACAUGAGAUAAUUCAUACUGGAGAGAAACUCUACAAACCAGAAAGAUGUGGCAAUGCUUCUGACAACACCUCAAACUUUUCUAACCAUAAAAGAAAUCAUAUUAGUGAGAAAUCCUAGAAAUGUGGAGAAUGUAACAAAGUAUUUAAAUGGUUGUCGCACUUGAUUAUAGGUAAUAUACUGGAAAAAAUUCCUACAAGUGAGAACAAUGUGGCAAAAUUUUUAACUAAUACAUCUUAUUGCACAGAAAAUCAUUUAUGAGAAAAAUUGUACAAAUAUAGACUAUGAAAAAGACAUCAGUAUCUGCUUACAUCUUAACACCAGAGAGUUCAUGCUUAAUAAAAGCAUGAUAAGUGCAAUUACUGUCAAAAGAUCUUUCAGAAAAUAUUAUCCCUUAAAGUGAAGGAGAGUAUAUUAAAGAUGAACAUUACAAACAUAAAGAAGGUUGUAGUACUUUUACUUGGAUCUUAUUGUCCACAUUUUGUACUAGAGAAAAACUCUGAAGGGGUUGCUCAAACUUUAUUCAACAUCAGGGAAUUUAUAUUGGAGAAUUGUCUUGCAAAUGUAAUAAAUUUGGGAAAACACUUUUUCAAAAACUACAGCUUAGGAAACACCAGAGUUUAUACUAAAAUAUAUUUUCAAAGAUGCAGUAAAAAUAAAAAAAUUCAAUCCAAAUUUAAGUCUAUGUAAAUACCAGAAUUUAUAGUAGAAAUAUAUGAGGAACUGACACUUCUAAUAUUCUAAAUCAGAGUUCUGAGUAUAUAAAAUAAUCUAAAACUAAAGUUGGUAGAAAAAUUAUUUGUAUAUAGUAUAUAUUGCAGAGUAAUAACUAUAUUCAGAUCAUACAUUCUUGAAAAAAUUACAUAUUUUUUGAAAAGCAAAUGAUGUAACUCAGCUCUUUAUUUUCUGCUGUUUCUUCAUUCUUAUUGACUUGUGAAAACAUGUCAUCAUUUGUUGCUGCAUCAGAGGUAUGAGAGAUUCUUUUUCAUUAGGUGGGCAUUAUUUAUUAUCUUUUUAUGGAUGAGUAAGAGUAUUAAAAUGUAAGAUGUAUGAUGAAAA